rnacentral:rRNA from 1 species
GACGAACGCUGGCGGCGUGCUUAACACAUGCAAGUCGAACGGAAAGGCCCUGCUUUUGUGGGGUGCUCGAGUGGCGAACGGGUGAGUAACACGUGAGUAACCUGCCCUUGACUUUGGGAUAACUUCAGGAAACUGGGGCUAAUACCGGAUAGGAGCUCCUGCUGCAUGGUGGGGGUUGGAAAGUUUCGGCGGUUGGGGAUGGACUCGCGGCUUAUCAGCUUGUUGGUGGGGUAGUGGCUUACCAAGGCUUUGACGGGUAGCCGGCCCGAGAGGGUGACCGGCCACAUUGGGACUGAGAUACGGCCCAGACUCCUACGGGAGGUAGCAGUGGGGAAUAUUGCACAAUGGGCGGAAGCCUGAUGCAGCAACGCCGCGUGCGGGAUGACGGCCUUCGGGUUGUAAACCGCUUUCGCCUGUGACGAAGCGUGAGUGACGGUAAUGGGUAAAGAAGCACCGGCUAACUACGUG